GGGGUUGUGGCUCAGAGGUAAAGUGCUCGCCUAUCACGCGGGAGGCCCUAGGUUAGAUCCUCAGCACCA
rnacentral:tRNA from 1 species